rnacentral:lncRNA from 1 species
GCCGACUUCCUUUCUCCUCCACUUGGCCCAGAUAGGUUUUACUUCGGGUGACCAGAGUGUUCAAACUCACCCAGACUCUUCUCGGCUAAAUUCUGUGCUUCUUCCCUCCUGUGUUCAAGCCCAGCUGGUUGGGGUCUGCUUCUGCACCCAGACCACUGGACAGUACCGUGGCGCCUCUGUCACAGCUCUCCUGCAUGCAGCUCAACCCCACCUCCGCCCCCCGACCCAGGACUGGCACCCCGGCCUCCGCAACCCUGUCCAGAAUUUACAGCUUUCUCCCGAACUGGCCGUGUGGAAGCCGACAGCUUGACUUGAGCGCUGAGCCUGGUGAGGGAAAGAACUCUUGCAGGGAGAGGCAAGUCUUUAAAUCCCAUGUGCAGCAGUGCCCGGACAUCUGGCAAGUCCCGCACUGUACUUCGAGGAGACAGAAACAUGAGCAAGACACAGAGGCCCUGCACUAAGACAAGUGUGCACAGCCACCCAGCAUAGGGCAGAGGGUGACAAGCACCCUAAAAUGCACCUGAUCCAGAGGGCAGAGCGACUGCGUCCAGC